ACCUUCUUCUCUAGUUUAGGCAGUUGACCACCUCCCAUUGGCUAAGAGCAAACAUUAAUGUAAUUAUUCACUAAGACGUAAUUAAGAAAAUAAGCCUUUAACAGUUACUUCCCAUCUGACGGCUGCCAUUGGGUAGAUCAGACCUCAUUAUUAUAUCAUUAUUAUAGAUGCUUAGCCAUGAUCAAGAGCAUUUCCUUGAAAAAUAACGAAUAGAAUGAGAUUCGCAAGUAAGCAUACCAUGAGAUUCGCAAGGCCCCUAUACGAGGAGGAACAAACUCUAUGGCACAAAGAGUGAGUACCACAAUGGAACUUUAAUAGAGAAGAACGCUCACCUCGUUGGAGACCAUGGAGUUCUUAGUUGGUUUUGCAAUUCUCUUGAUCUUGGUUGUCUUCUCGAGCGUGUUCUACCUGAGAGUAGCAUCGCAAUCGCCAUCACUCCCCACUCCACUGCCGAUCAUCGGCCAUCUUUACCUCUUGGGAAAGCUCCCUCACCACUCUCUCCUCGCGAUCGCUCGAAAGUAUGGCCCCCUCGUCCAGCUCCAGCUUGGCUCGGUACCUGUGGUGAUCGCGUCAAGCCCCGAGAUGGCGAGAGAGUUUCUAAGAAACCAGGAUCUCAGCUUUGCGUCGAGGCCGACGUUGCUUACCACGAAGUACAUCCUCUACGACUCCAAGGACAUGGUUUUUGCUCCAUACGGCGAGCACUGGAGGAGCAUGAGGAAGCUGUGCGUUGUGGAGCUCCUGACGGACCGUCGCCUCGCCUCAUCGCAGCAGGCAAGGCUGGAAGAGCUACAGAGAUUGUUAGCGAAGAUCGCAAAAGUUGCGGACACGAGCGAACCUUUCGUGCUGCUAGAUCUGCUGACGGAGUUUACGUUCAACGUCAUCACCCGGAUGGUGAUGAACAAGGCUUACUUUGGA
rnacentral:lncRNA from 1 species